AGAGUUUGAUCCUGGCUCAGAACGAACGCUGGCGGCGCGUCUUAAGCAUGCAAGUCGAACGGCAAGAGAGAAGCUUGCUUCUCUCCUAGAGUGGCGGACUGGUGAGGAACACGUGGGUAAUCUACCCUUAAGAUGGGGAUAGCUGUUAGAAAUAGCAGGUAAUACCGAAUAGGCUCAGUGCUUCAUAAGAGGCGUUGAGGAAAGGGAGCUACGGCUCCGCUUGAGGAUGAGCUUGCGUCCCAUUAGCUAGUUGGUGAGGUAAAGGCCCACCAAGGCGACGAUGGGUAUCCGGCCUGAGAGGGUGAUCGGACACAUUGGGACUGAGAUACGGCCCAAACUCCUACGGGAGGCAGCAGCUAAGAAUAUUCCGCAAUGGACGAAAGUCUGACGGAGCGACGCCGCGUGGAUGAAGAAGGCUGAAAAGUUGUAAAAUCCUUUUGUUGAUGAAGAAUAAGGGGAAGAGGGAAUGCUUCUCUGAUGACGGUAAUCAGCGAAUAAGCCCCGGCUAAUUACGUGCCAGCAGCCGCGGUAACACGUAAGGGGCGAGCGUUGUUCGGAAUUAUUGGGCGUAAAGGGCAUGUAGGCGGUUAUGUAAGCCUGAUGUGAAAUCCUGGGGCUUAACCCUAGAAUAGCAUUGGGUACUGUGUAACUUGAAUUACGGAAGGGAAACUGGAAUUCCAAGUGUAGGGGUGGAAUCUGUAGAUAUUUGGAAGAACACCGGUGGCGAAGGCGGGUUUCUGGCCGAUAAUUGACGCUGAGAUGCGAAAGUGUGGGGAUCGAACAGGAUUAGAUACCCUGGUAGUCCACACUGUAAACGAUGUACACUAGGUGUUGGGGCAAGAGCUUCAGUGCCAAAGCAAACGCGAUAAGUGUACCGCCUGGGGAGUAUGCCCGCAAGGGUGAAACUCAAAGGAAUUGACGGGGGCCCGCACAAGCGGUGGAGCAUGU
rnacentral:rRNA from 1 species